rnacentral:rRNA from 1 species
AACGAACGCUGGCGGCGCGCCUAAUACAUGCAAGUCGAACGAGAAGGUGUAGCAAUACACUUGUACAGUGGCGAACGGGUGCGUAAUGCAUGAGCAAUCUACCCUUGAGGCGGGAAUAACCCAGCGAAAGUUGGGCUAAUACCGGAUAAGACCACAAGAGGAGACCCUAGAGGCUAAAGGCAGCUCUCUUUUGGGGGCGGCCCUUUGAGGAGGAGCUCAUGUCCUAUCAGCUAGUUGGUAGGGUAACGGCCUACCAAGGCGAAGACGGGUAGCUGGUCUUAGAGGAUGAUCAGCCACACGGGGACUGAGACACGGCCCCGACUCCUAC